UCUCAAACUCAUGAGCUCAAGCAAUCCCCCCGCCUUGGCCUCACAAAGUGCUGGGAUUACAGGCAUGAGCCGCUGCACCCAGCCGAGCCAGUUGUUAAACAUCUACCAACACACCCUGAUUCUGGUUCUAGUGGAAGUUCCACCACAUCUAGCCAUGGGUCCUUGGGAUGGCAGCAGCAAUUCCAAGAACAACAACAGCAAGAAGAAUAAGAGAGAUCAUCUUUUCCUGGGGCUCUCUCUUGGAAAGAAGGGAGAAGGAAUGCUGCAUCCUGUGGAACUAGUGUUAUGAAAGACACACCUUAAGAAAAACUCAUCUACCUCAACCUCAGAAGUUUCAGAAAAUUGUGCAUCUUUUCCUGUUCUUUCAUUUUGUUAAAAAUAAACCUGAC